rnacentral:rRNA from 1 species
UACGUAGGGCGCAAGCGUUAUCCGGAAUUAUUGGGCGUAAAGAGCUCGUAGGCGGUUUGUCGCGUCUGCUGUGAAAACUGGGGGCUCAACCCCCAGCCUGCAGUGGGUACGGGCAGACUAGAGUGCGGUAGGGGAGACUGGAAUUCCUGGUGUAGCGGUGGAAUGCGCAGAUAUCAGGAGGAACACCGAUGGCGAAGGCAGGUCUCUGGGCCACUACUGACGCUGAGAAGCGAAAGCAUGGGGAGCGAACAGG